rnacentral:rRNA from 1 species
ACGAACGCUGGCGGCGUGGAUAAGACAUGCAAGUCGAACGGGACUUUCAGCUGUAGCAAUACAGUUGAAAGUUUAGUGGCGAGCGGGUGCGUAACACGUGGGCAAUCUGCCGAGAAGUGGGGGAUAGCUCGCCGAAAGGCGAAUUAAUACCGCAUGUGGUGAGGAGGGACAUCCCUCUGAAUCCAAAGCCGGGGCAACCUGGCGCUUUUUGAGGAGCCCGCGGCCUACAGCUAGUUGGUGAGGUAACGGCUCACCAAGGCUAUGGACGGGUAGCUGGUCUGAGAGGACGACCAGUCACACUGGAACUGAGACACGGUCCAGACACCUACGGGUGGCAGCAGUCGAGUAAUUUUUCUCAAGUGGGGAAACCCUGAAGGAGCGACGCCGCGUGGAGGAUGAAGG